rnacentral:lncRNA from 1 species
AUUCAAUUCAACUAACUAACCCAUUCAUUUACAAAGAUUUGAACCAAGAACAAUAUCCGUCAGAGACUAAUAGCAUCAAAAUCAGAAACUAAUUCUUACUCCAACAUUCCUUCAUCGUGAUUUCAGAUUAAUUCGAAACAAAAAGAAGCAACGAUAUAAAUAAUCUAAGAAACCAGAAGUUGCAACAUUUCAAAAGAGAUUAAAAGCAAAACGAAACCAUUGAUAAUCAUAACUGAGAAGAUGAAGAUGUUGCUGAUUUGAGAUAAAUCUUCAGAAAACUUUCAAGACACUUCAUUCUAUCCUUCAUAGCUAGCGUAUCAACUUUGAUAAUUUCCAAUUCCCUUUUGAUAGACCGAACACCAACCAAAAGAUUAUCCAACUCAGCUAACCUAUUCAUCCUUGCUCGUUUCGCUGCUUCUUCUUCGUCAACCUCUUCAUCAUCAUCAUCAUCAUCAUCAUCUUCUUCUUCUUCUUCUUGAAGCUGGUUGGGAAUCUGAUGCGAAACGAAGGAUUUGCGGUGUUCCGUGGCCGUGGAAAGUAGAUCGGUGAUGUCGGCGAGGGAUUUGUGAAGGUGCUUCUGCACGAAUUGAUCAUCAACGACAAGAGAUUUCCACCACUUGCAUACUGACCUCAACUGCAGAGGAUUGUUUGAGUCAACUCUAGCAAGGAUUUCGAUCAUCAGUUCCACCGGGAGAAUCGUGGUCGGUGACUCCGCCGUUGCAUCCGCCAUCAUUGCCGUCGUUAAAGCUUCCGUUGAUUUUUUCUAGGAUUUUAGGGUUUCACGGGUUUAUCACAUCAGAACUUUUUUCCUUCCGGGUCGGUAUCUGUCACCCAGAUGUUUAUAGCUCCGAUUUUGAUGUUCUGUCUUCUGUGUAGAUAAAUAAUGGGAAAUUUUAUGGUACACCCAACAUCUUGAACAGUGGCGGAGCCUUUUAUGGGCUGAGGUGGGCCACGGCCCAUCCGAAAAAAUAAAAAAAUCAACGACUAUAGGUCUAUUUUGCGAGAUUUUAUGCAAUUUUGUGUGAGUUUUAUGUUUUGCUUGAUCCAAAUUCCUGCAAAGUGGUGUAGUGGCCCACCCGAAAAUUUAAAUAAUUCAAUUAUAC